UGACCUCGGAUCAGGUAGGGAUACCCGCUGAACUUAAGCAUAUCAAUAAGCGGGAGGAAAAGAAACCAACCGGGAUUGCCUCAGUAACGGCGAGUGAAGCGGCAAGAGCUCAAAUUUGAAAGCUGGCUCCUUCGGGGUCCGCAUUGUAAUUUGCAGAGGAUGCUUCGGGUGCGGCCCCUGUCUAAGUGCCCUGGAACGGGCCGUCAGAGAGGGUGAGAAUCCCGUCUGGGAUGGGGUGUCCGCGCCCGUGUGAAGCUCUUCGACGAGUCGAGUUGUUUGGGAAUGCAGCUCUAAAUGGGUGGUAAAUUUCAUCUAAAGCUAAAUACUGGCCGGAGACCGAUAGCGCACAAGUAGAGUGAUCGAAAGAUGAAAAGCACUUUGAAAAGAGAGUUAAAAAGCACGUGAAAUUGUUGAAAGGGAAGCGCUUGCGACCAGACUCGCCUCCAGGGUUCAGCCGGCAUUCGUGCCGGUGUACUUCCCUGGGGGCGGGCCAGCGUCGGUUUGGGCGGCCGGUCAAAGGCUCCCGGAAUGUAGUGCCCUCCGGGGCACCUUAUAGCCGGGAGUGCAAUGCGGCCAGCCUGGACCGAGGAACGCGCUUCGGCACGGACGCUGGCAUAAUGGUCGUAAACGACCCGUCUUGAAACACGGACCAAGGAGUCUAACAUCUACGCGAGUGUUCGGGUGUCAAACCCGUACGCGCAGUGAAAGCGAACGGAGGUGGGAGCCCCCUCGUGGGGCGCACCAUCGACCGAUCCUGAAGUCUUCGGAUGGAUUUGAGUAAGAGCGUAAAUGUGGGGACCCGAAAGAUGGUGAACUAUGCCUGAAUAGGGCGAAGCCAGAGGAAACUCUGGUGGAGGCUCGCAGCGGUUCUGACGUGCAAAUCGAUCGUCAAAUUUGGGUAUAGGGGCGAAAGACUAAUCGAACCAUCUAGUAGCUGGUUCCUGCCGAAGUUUCCCUCAGGAUAGCAGUAACGCGAAUUCAGUUUUAUGAGGUAAAGCGAAUGAUUAGAGGCAUUGGGGUUGAAACAACCUUAACCUAUUCUCAAACUUUAAAUAUGUAAGAAGCCCUUGUUGCUUAGUUGAACGUGGGCAUUAGAAUGGAGC
rnacentral:rRNA from 1 species